CAAUAGCGUAUAUUAAAGUUGUUGCGGUUAAAAAGCUCGUAGUUGGAUUUCUGCCGAGGACGACCGGUCCGCCCUCCGGGUGAGUAUCUGGCUCGGCCUGGGCAUCUUCUUGGAGAACGUAACUGCACUUGGCUGUGUGGUGCGGUAUUCAGGACUUUUACUUUGAGGAAAUUAGAGUGUUUCAAGCAGGCACACGCCUUGAAUACAUUAACAUGGAAUAAUAAGAUAGGACCUCGGUUCUAUUUUGUUGGUUUCUAGAUCUGAGGUAAUGAUUAAUAGGGAUAGUUGGGGGCAUUCGUAUUUAACUGUCAGAGGUAAAAUUCUUGGAUUUGUUAAAGACGGACUACUGCGAAAGCAUUUGCCAAGGAUGUUUUCAUUGA
rnacentral:rRNA from 1 species